rnacentral:lncRNA from 1 species
UCUCUUCAGUUCAACACUCCCCCUCAAGCUUGACUUUAGGAGAUCCUAAGCCAAGCUUGGAACUCUGAAGAGUCUCCCUCAUUAAAAACCUUACAAGGAAAACCCAUUGGGACAAAACCUUGCAAGGGAAAAAGAGUAGAGCUCUCCAAAGCCUAGGGAUUGGCCAGUGAGCUCUUGUGCCUUAGAACCAGUGUGGUUGGACACAAGAAGCUCUGGAUCACGGCCUAAUAGGUGCAGCAUCUCUUCACAGCUUUGCGCACACUUCACACUUCAGCUUCACCUCUUCAUGGAACCGGUUUGAAGUCUCCCCCUCUCAACUGACUUCGCAGCCAUCUUAGAGAAGCUAGGACACGACCAGAUCAUCUUCAAAAACACCAGUGAGGCUGAUCAACACUUCACACACGGCCUGCCCUCUUCAUCAACCAGGUUUGGAAUCUCCCCCUCUCAACAGACUUCACAGCCUCUUUAGAGAAGCUAAGAGAUGACCCGGAACUGUUUAAUGAGGCUACAAGCAAUGGUACCUGAUACAUUAUCCCAAAGGUGCAUCAGUACCUAUAAAAAACAAGAAAAUGAAUAUCCUGCAUCACACUUGAUGCACACAAUCUCACAAUUCAAUCAUAAUCAUUUUAAGCAUCUUUUCAAGCACAAGCAAUGAAUAAGAUGAAUGAGAAGGAUUGAAAAGAGUUUUAAAAGUCAAAGGGAACUUCCCUUGUAUUUUUGUGAGUUUUCUAACUCGGCCAAUGCACCAUCUUCAUGGCAUCAUCAACUUCUUGGAAAGGCAGAAUGGAUUCAUCAGCUUCUCCUCAAUCACCUCUCAUUGAAGCUGCAUUGAUGGAGAGCCUUCUUCCUUACUCGCCAAGGCUGCUCUGAACAGCCUCUUGCCUAGACACGCCACUGACUUGGUCCGGUUGAUGAUCCUUACAAGAUUUUCCCUGACGUGUUUUACUCUAAUUAUAUAAGCUUUGCCAUUAUGUUAGAGGCAAAGUGUGCUUUCUUUGUGUUUCAUUGUUUUAUUGAUAGAUAGGAGAUAAGAUCCAAAGUUAUAAUUUGUGAUUGGAACUCCAUUGAUAUUUAUCUUAUUUAUUCUAUGAAGUUUUUAUACCUAACUAUUGUUAUGAAUUGCUUAGCCAUGUCUGAGUAGUUCUCUUGGUAGAUUUUAGGGUUUAAAUUGGUUAGGAGGGAUUAGCCCCAACUAUAGAUUGCUGAGUUGUGAUAA